AAUCUGGGGCCCUCGGCCUCCGAGUUGUAAUUUGGAGAGGCAUCUUCGGAGGGGAGCGCCGGCCCAUGUUCCUUGGAACAGGACGUCGCAGAGGGUGAGAAUCCCGUGCCAGGCCGGCAGCCUCCUCUCGCGUGAAGGGCCUUCGACGAGUCGAGUUGUUUGGGAAUGCAGCUCCAAGUGGGUGGUAUAUUUCAUCUAAAGCUAAAUACCGGCGGGAGACCGAUAGCGCACAAGUAGAGUGAUCGAAAGAUGAAAAGCACUUUGAAAAUAGAGUCAAAAAGUACGUGAAAUUGUUGAAAGGGAAGCGCUUGAGACCAGACUCAGACCCGAGCAAACACCGCGCCCCUCGGGGCCGUGCAAUUGCCAGGGGCUGGGCCAGCAUCAGUUGGCGUGGCGGGACAAAGGCGCGGGCAAUGUGGCUCCCCUCGGGGAGUGUUAUUAGGCCCACGCUCAAUGCCGCCGACGUCGACUGAGGACCGCGCCUCGGCUAGGAUGCUGGCUUAAUGGCCUUCAGCGACCCGUCUUGAAACACGGACCAAGGAGUCUAACAUCUAUGCGAGUGUUUGGGCGUCAAACCCUUGCGCGUAAUGAAAGUGAGCGGAGGUGGGAACCCCUCGCGGGGCGCACCAUCGACCGAUCCUGAUGUCUUCGGAUGGAUUUGAGUA
rnacentral:rRNA from 1 species